rnacentral:lncRNA from 1 species
GCCUUGUCAUGGAGUAAGUCAUAUCUAUACCUUCCGGUGGUACCUAUAAUGAGCUCCAAAUAGGCUUUGUUUGCAGCAGCCAUUGUGAGACAACUGAAAUAAAGCAUGACCCAUAACACCAUAUACGUGAUGAACUAGUGAAAUGAUAUUGGAGAUGUUAUAUAUACUUCAGCGAUGGUAGUUGAUAUUUUUUAAAGGCAAGGGAUUGAAUUGGCC